GCUGGGCGCAGUGGUGCAUGCCUGUAAUCCCAGCGACAUGGGAGGCUGAGACAGGAGGAUUGCAAGUUCAAAGCCAGCCUCAGCAAAAGUAAGGGCUAAACAACUGCGUGAGAUCCUGUAUUUC
rnacentral:sRNA from 1 species